rnacentral:misc_RNA from 1 species
UACGAAUGGAGCGAGCGUUGUUCGGAAUCACUGGGCGUAAAGCGUGCGUAGGCGGAUAUGAAAGUCAGAAGUGAAAGCCCUGGGCUUAACCCGGGAACUGCUUUUGAAACUUCAUAUCUAGAGUUCUGGAGAGGCAAGGGGAAUUCCGAGUGUAGAGGUGAAAUUCUUAGAGAUUCGGAGGAACACCAGUGGCGUAGGCGCCUUGCUGGACAGAUACUGACGCUGAGGCACGAAAGCGUGGGGAGCAAACAGG